ACUAGCUAAUUUCCUAGCCUAGCAACGGCUACUUUCUCCGCUCAGUUUAUUUAGCUAACUAGUGAGCAGUCGACUUAAUCUUCGACAUCAAACUAAUAGUAUUUUUUAACAUUUCAACAAAAGAGGCGUUUAUGCUAAGUCCCCUCCUGUUCCCUGAUUUAAGAGGUGAUGACCACUCCACUACCAUUGUCAACUCUCUCCUGACAUGAACUGAAGCCAUGUUUCAUGUGCCCCGCUCAUCCACUGGCACAUGGAACGUUUCCUCUCCAGGCACUUCAAAUCCUUUCCUGCACUGAAGUCAAGCCUCUGAACA